UACAGAGGGUGCAAGCGUUAAUCGGAGUUACUGGGCGUAAAGGGCGCGUAGGCGGUUAGAUGUGUGGGAUGUGAAAUCCCUGGGCUUAACCUAGGAACUGCAUCUUAAACUGUCUGACUGGAGUACUGUAGAGGGUAGUGGAAUUUCCGGUGUAGCGGUGAAAUGCGUAGAGAUCGGAAGGAACACCAGUGGCGAAGGCGGCUCACUGGUCCAUUACUGACGCUGAGGUGCGAAAGCGUGGGGAGCAAACAGG
rnacentral:rRNA from 1 species